rnacentral:rRNA from 1 species
GAUGAACGCUGGCGGCGUGCCUAAUACAUGCAAGUCGAGCGAACAGAUGAGGAGCUUGCUCCUCUGACGUUAGCGGCGGACGGGUGAGUAACACGUGGAUAACCUACCUAUAAGACUGGGAUAACUUCGGGAAACCGGAGCUAAUACCGGAUAAUAUAUUGAACCGCAUGGUUCAAUAGUGAAAGACGGUUUUGCUGUCACUUAUAGAUGGAUCCGCGCCGCAUUAGCUAGUUGGUAAGGUAACGGCUUACCAAGGCAACGAUGUGUAGCCGACCUGAGAGGGUGAUCGGCCACACUGGAACUGAGACACGGUCCAUACUCCUACGGGAGGCAGCAGUAGGGAAUCUUCCGCAAUGGGCGAAAGCCUGACGGAGCAACGCCGCGUGAGUGAUGAAGGUCUUCGGAUCGUAAAACUCUGUUAUUAGGGAAGAACAAAUGUGUAAGUAACUAUGCACGUCUUGACGGUACCUAAUCAGAAAGCCACGGCUAACUACGUG